rnacentral:lncRNA from 1 species
AGCAUAUUCAAACCACCACAGACACUGUCUCAAAAAUAUCUGAUAUAUGUACUUUUUUUGCAUUGGAAUAUUAUCCAUUAAUCUCAGUUUCCCCCCUUAUAUUUUUCAGUGAUCCGGAGCAGCUGAAAAGAGAACUAGAUGAGCUAGUCGGUGCCAUUGAAGAACAUUUUUUCCAGCCACAAAAGUAUAACCUACAGCCAAAAGCAGAAUAAAAUAUUCCAGUGCUGGAUAUGAUUAAAUUUACCUCCAAUUAGGCUGAACUUGAUUUUUAAAGCAACAUUUUUUAGGACCAAAUGAUUCAGAUAAUCGUCACAAGUAUUUCUAGGAUAGCCACUUUAUAGAAAUAUUUAUUCCUGUGUUUCUGCCAGUUACUUAUAAAGUAAAAUAAAAUAAAUCAAAUAGGC